GUCCCCAGGCCGGGCCAGCCCGGUUAACCCCUCCGUCCCAGAGGCCCGUGAUUCCUCCUCCUUUUCCCCUUCUUCCUUUCCCGCUCCCGCCGCGAGUCUCCCAUCCUGCCUUCUCCGAUACUGUCCGGGUAGCUUUCAAUGGACCCCCGUGCUCCCAGAGGUCCUGCGUCACCUGCCCUGACCCCCACCUGCUCGCCCUCCGUGGGUCCCCAGUCCGGGUGACAGUGACUGUGGAUGUUGACAAACCUCGGGCUCAUUGGACCUGAGAAGGCAACUUUCUCCGCCCUGGGCUUCUCGGAAGAAACGUCCAAGAAGGUGAUUUGUGCUGGGGGGCCAGGGAGCCCCCUUGCUCCAGCAACCCCAGCUCUCUGGAGGUGGCUGCAAAGGUCUGGACUGAGCUGGUUCAACUGGAGCUGGACUUGGAGAACCUACAUGUAGUGUUACUGCUGACCUAGUAACAGAUUCUGGGAAAUAA